rnacentral:rRNA from 1 species
UACAGAGACUGCAAGCGUUAUUCGGAUUCACUGGGCGUAAAGGGUGCGCAGGCGGCCAAGUGUGUUAGGCGUGAAAGCCUGAGGCUUAACCUCAGAAUUGCACCUAAAACUACAUGGCUAGAGCAUUGGAGAGGGUAGCGGAAUUCACGGUGUAGCAGUGAAAUGCGUAGAUAUCGUGAGGAACACCAGAGGCGAAGGCGGCUACCUGGACAAUCGCUGACGCUCAGGCACGAAAGCGUGGGGAGCGAACAGG